CCUACGGGUGGCAGCAGUGGGGAAUAUUGGACAAUGGGGGCAACCCUGAUCCAGCCAUGCCGCGUGUGUGAAGAAGGCCCUCGGGUUGUAAAGCACUUUCAGUGAGGAAGAACGCCUGGUGGUUAAUACCCAUCAGGAAAGACAUCACUCACAGAAGAAGCACCGGCUAACUCCGUGCCAGCAGCCGCGGUAAUACGGAGGGUGCGAGCGUUAAUCGGAAUUACUGGGCGUAAAGCGCGCGUAGGUGGCUUGAUAAGCCGGUUGUGAAAGCCCCGGGCUGAACCUGGGAACGGCAUCCGGAACUGUCAAGCUAGAGUGCAGGAGAGGAAGGUAGAAUUCCCGGUGUAGCGGUGAAAUGCGUAGAGAUCGGGAGGAAUACCAGUGGCGAAGGCGGCCUUCUGGACUGACACUGACACUGAGGUGCGAAAGCGUGGGUAGCAAACAGGAUUAGAUACCCGGGUAGUC
rnacentral:rRNA from 1 species